CCCUAGCUCGCCUUCCUCUUCUUUCUUCCUCUUUUUUUCUUCUUCCCUGACCCUGCUGCAGCGCUGCUGAGUCUCCUACUCUCCUGAGUAAACUUCACAGAUUCACAGAAGUGACAGAAAAAUUAUUAGAUUCAUCUAAAGAUCAAAGACAGUCUUGAAGAGAAAUACAAGAGCGGAUUGAUUUUCUGGGCUCGUGAAGAUCGGAGGAAUACAACAACGAAUUGAUUUUCUGGGUUCGUGAAGAGUGAAUUGAUUUUCUGUUCGAUUAAUAAUAUGAUGUCAAGUGUACAAGAGCAAGAGUUACCAGAACCAGACCAUUUCAAGGAUGUUAUGAGUGCUGAUGAUGAAGAUGAUGAUGUUGAGAUGUUAUGAAUGUAUGAUACUAUGAUAGUAUCUGUGUGACUGUGUCUGUGUUUCUUUAA